ACACCAACUUCAUGGUGGACUCCAGCCUCUCCUGCAGGUUUCUGAUCUCAUUCUGUUCCCCGUCCGCAUCACUGCUGACCAAGGACAUGGCCCGCAUGCGUGGGAACCAGUCCAAAUUGUGGUCCUGUUGUUGACGUGUCCACUCAGCGGAACAUUGGCCCAAACCUCUUGACCUUGGUGGGUGUAGUGUGCUGCCUACCCUGAUCAUUUCAGCCACGUAGCUCUCUGGACCUGUGAACUCCGUGGAGUCCUUCACCUUAACCAAAACGAUGAAGAAGAGAUAGUGCCACAUGUUGUGCUCAAUUUUGAUGUGUUCUUCAAAGGUGACUGUCUUAUUGUCAAACUUGUCUCUCUCCAGACCUGUUCAAAUAUGGCACAAACCCACACAAAGGACAAACAGAAUGUCAGAGGUCAGCAAAUGUGUCAAUGAUGACACCAAAGAUGAGGUUCAAGACGAUGAUAAUGACCAUGAAGAAGAAGAGCAGAUCAUAGAGUACUCUGGCUGCAAACAGGGGC